rnacentral:lncRNA from 1 species
ACACUCUUUCUAAACCCUGUUUUUCUCUCAUCAACUACAGCCUCAGAUCCAUUCUCUCACUCCCACAAAAUUCUGAGUAUCAUGAAUCUGUUUGAUACAAAUCAAUAAUUCCCCUCUCAGCAACCAAUUGUGGUUAUGAUGAUGAUUCUUAUCACUCAUUCAACCACUACUAUGUGCAACUCGACCAAGAUUCUUCAGAUAGGUUAUCAGCAUGAUGAUGUUGUAACCUUGGCUACAUUUAGGAAAGGUCUCUGUCUUAACGGUGAAAUCGAUGACUUUUGUGGUCAUCAUAGUAGGAUAUCUAGUUAAACUAGAUGCAGUAAUGUACAACACAAUCAUUGAUAGUCUGUGCAAAGAUAAACUUGUAAAUCAUGAUUGUGUUGUUACAUAUAAACUAAUGUUGUAAGGAAGGAAAGGUGAAAGAAACUAAAAAUUCAUAGUCUUCGCUAUGAAUUUGAAGAAUACAUCACUUACAAUUCCUUAUUAUAUUAUAUUGAUGCAAAAUCUUCUUGAUCAAGUUUAUUAUAUGGUACAAAAUCUUCUUGAUCAAGUUUUUUAUUGAUAGUCUGUUCAAAGAUAAAUUUUAUUUUAGGUUGAAUUUCUCCGAGUCUGUGGUUCUUCAUGUAUUGACUUACGAGUCUUGUAAUUCUUCAUGUGAAAUAAAAUAUUUAUUGGAAUUUGUUGCUAAGAGCAAUUGUGAUGUUUAAGUUUAUUUGUUUCAUAUUUUACCUUAAAAAUAAGGUUGCAACUUAUAUUUUGUUUAUUUAGUUUUUAUAGUAGAUAUAAUUCUUACCUUUGUGAAACCUGUGACUUAAAGAUAGAUAUAGAUAUUGUCUUUCAUGUGAUCCAA